rnacentral:rRNA from 1 species
CAGCACCGCGGUAAUACGUAGGUGGCAAGCGUUGUCCGGAAUUAUUGGGCGUAAAGGGCUCGCAGGCGGUUUCUUAAGUCUGAUGUGAAAGCCCCCGGCUCAACCGGGGAGGGUCAUUGGAAACUGGGAAACUUGAGUGCAGAAGAGGAGAGUGGAAUUCCACGUGUAGCGGUGAAAUGCGUAGAGAUGUGGAGGAACACCAGUGGUGAAGGCGACUCUCUGGUCUGUAACUGACGCUGAGGAGCGAAAGCGUGGGGAGCGAACAGGAUUAGAUACCCCUGUAGUCCCUGUCUCUUAUACA